rnacentral:pre_miRNA from 1 species
UGUGUACUCCCUCCGUUCCAAAAUACUUGACUUCCAUUUGUCCAAAAAUGGAUGUACCUAUAUACUAAAACAUGUCUAGAUACAUAUAUAUAUUUUGACAAAUAGAAGGCAUGUAUUGUGCAAUGGAGGGAGUAGAAU